GCUGAAAUUUGGCAUAAAAUUAAAGUACACGGGGUCAAGUGAUGUCUCAAUUGCUCAUAAAAUAACCACUGAACACCUCACAGUGAGUGGUCCAGGUAUGAACACAUAUCUCCAUAUUAGAAACAAUGCAUUAUAAUCAUACAUUUCGAUUUUAUUAGCAAGACAAAAAGUGAAAUGGGCAGCUCAGUUAUUUUCGAAUAGCACGUCCAAUGCCAUUAAAAGAUGCCAUUAUCUUGGCUUUGAAAUGUAUAAUCCUGAAGAGACUGCAGAAUUUUGCCAAUUAAUAAACGAUUGGUUUGACGUUUUGAAUUCUAAUAUGAACACAUUUAACUAUCCAGGCAAGGAACCAUUUGGAAACAAUUUGGAAAAACAAAAUAAAAUUUUGGAACGCAUGAAUGCGGUGAUGUCAGUGCCAAUAAUUCCAAAUAAAAAUACUCUUGAACAUUUUCAAAAGGGUGUUAUAAUGACUAAUAACUCGUUGUGUGGGUUACACGAGUAUUUGAAGGAAAAAUAUAAUAUGGAAUAUAUUUUAACAUACCGUCUCAAUCAAGAUGUAUUAGAGCACUUUUUUGGUGCUCUUAGAAGCAAAGGAGGCCUCAAUGACCAUCCGUCGCCUAAAGAUUUUAAAUUCAGACUCAGAAAAUAAAUUUUGGCACGUAAUACGGAGCAUUUAAAUUCUACUGGGAAUGUGGAGGGCGACACCACAGAGUGGCUUAGUUUUCCUGAUGAGACCGACUGUUUGAUUCUGCCUCAAAGUGGGACAUCCGAGCCGCCUUUUUCGGAUUCCGGUAUUCAAAAUUCUUUAAAUAUUGAAGAAGUAAAUAUAGAUGCAUUGUCAAAUAUCUUGGAAAUAGAGUUGAAAGACUUUUCAGACUUCAGUACUCUACAAGACGAUGCUUUGGAGUAUAUAGCUGGGUAUAUUAUGAAAAAGCUUCACCUUGAUGAAUAUCGAAGUCAAGAAAAAACCUUUACAUGGGUGGAUCAAAUAUCAAAAGGCUUUUUGCAAAAGCCAUCUUCAGAUUUUGUCCAUGCCUUGAAGCGUUUGGAAGUACUUUUUGUACGUGUAAAUGGCCAACGUAUUAACAACGAAAAAAAUUUGCAAAAAAGGCUAUUAGAAGCUAGUGCCGAAGAAUCGCUUCCAGAACAUGUUAAGAAAUUUUUUUUUUUAAAUGUAGAAUAUUUUUUAGAAUUAAAUAUUUGAAUUGAAUAUUUGAAUGUA
rnacentral:sRNA from 1 species